UCAUAUCAUAAUAACUCGACAGUAACCUGGAGGAAAUGAGGUCAAAUGAGGUUGUGCUCACAUCCGCAGUGAAGGUGUGAAAGUACGGCAGUGGCGAGGAGUAAACAAUCUGGUUGUAGAGCUCCUGCUCCCACACCUGCCUCCCUGUCUGUGGAGAUACAUGACGCAGAGCACAAAUGAAUGUGCUACUUCCAUUUUCAGAGGGAGGCAGUGCACUAUUGCUCUUCUCCUGCUAUGUCUUACUGGGAAAAGAACCACGGGAACAGUCAGGGUGACGGCCACCAGCACAGCCAGACGCACACAGAGAAUCUGGACGUCGAGGGCGUCCACUUGACUGUAGGUGUGUAACAGCUCAGACUCCACAGCACC